rnacentral:rRNA from 1 species
UGUAGUCUGCAACUCGACUACAUGAAGCUGGAAUCGCUAGUAAUCGCGAAUCAGAAUGUCGCGGUGAAUACGUUCCCGGGUCUUGUACACACCGCCCGUCACCACCAUGGGAGUCAGCGAACGCCCGAAGUCAGUGACCUAACCGAAAGGGAGGAGCUGCCGAAGGCGGGGACCGGUAACUGGGGUGAAGUCGUAACAAGGUAGC